rnacentral:rRNA from 1 species
GUUCCCUCAGAAUGGUUGGAAAUCAUUCAUAGAGUGUAAAGGCAUAAGGGAGCUUGACUGCGAGACCUACAAGUCGAGCAGGGUCGAAAGACGGACUUAGUGAUCCGGUGGUUCCGCAUGGAAGGGCCAUCGCUCAACGGAUAAAAGCUACCCCGGGGAUAACAGGCUUAUCUCCCCCAAGAGUUCACAUCGACGGGGAGGUUUGGCACCUCGAUGUCGGCUCAUCGCAUCCUGGGGCUGUAGUCGGUCCCAAGGGUUGGGCUGUUCGCCCAUUAAAGCGGUACGCGAGCUGGGUUCAGAACGUCGUGAGACAGUUCGGUCCCUAUCCGUCGUGGGCGUAGGAAAUUUGAGAGGAGCUGUCCUUAGUACGAGAGGACCGGGAUGGACAUACCUCUGGUGUACCAGUUGUCGUGCCAACGGCAUAGCUGGGUAGCUAUGUGUGGACGGGAUAAGUGCUGAAAGCAUCUAAGCAUGAAGCCCCCCUCAAGAUGAGAUUUCCCAACUUCGGUUAUAAGAUCCCUCAAAGAUGAUGAGGUUAAUAGGUUCGAGGUGGAAGCAUGGUGACAUGUGGAGCUGACGAAUACUAAUCGAUCGAAGACUUAAUCAA